rnacentral:rRNA from 1 species
AUUGAACGCUGUCGGCAGGCCUAACACAUGCAAGUCGAACGGUAACAGGAAGAAGCUUGCUUCUUUGCUGACGAGUGGCGGACGGGUGAGUAAUGUCUGGGAAACUGCCUGAUGGAGGGGGAUAACUACUGGAAACGGUAGCUAAUACCGCAUAACGUCGCAAGACCAAAAAGGGGGACCUUCGGGCCUCUUGCCAUCGGAUGUGCCCAGAUGGGAUUAGCUAGUAGGUGGGGUAACGGCUCACCUAGGCGACGAUCCCUAGCUGGUCUGAGAGGAUGACCAGCCACACUGGAACUGAGACACGGUCCAGACUCCUACGGGAGGCAGCAGUGGGGAAUAUUGCACAAUGGGCGCAAGCCUGAUGCAGCCAUGCCGCGUGUAUGAAGAAGGCCUUCGGGUUGUAAAGUACUUUCAGCGGGGAGGAAGGGAGUAAAGUUAAUACCUUUGCUCAUUGACGUUACCCGCAGAAGAAGCACCGGCUAACUCCGUG